rnacentral:rRNA from 1 species
AGGGUGUAAACGCUGCCGACUUGGUGUUGGAGGCCCUUCGGGGGCAUUCAGUGCCGGAGAGAAGUUGUUAAGUCGGCCACUUGGGGAGUACGUCCGCAAGGAUGAAACUUAAAGGAAUUGGCGGGGGAGCACCGCAACGGGAGGAGCGUGCGGUUUAAUUGGAUUCAACACCGGGAAGCUCGCCGGAUAGGACAGCAGAAUGAUUGCCGGGCUGAAGACCCUGCAUGACUAGCUGAGAGGAGGUGCAUGGCGUAGACGUCU